CGCUCUGGUGGCAUAAUGGUUAUAGCGUUCGCCUUGGAUGCGGGAGGUCGUGGGUUCGAUCCCCGGUCGAGUCA